AUGACCACACAUCGACCUUUACAUUCUUAUUUUUGUAAGUGAUCAAAAAAACCAUUUACAAGAAAAAAUAAAUCUGACAAGUACACAAACCUGAGUGCAGAGGAAAACACCAGUCAGAUUCAGAUCAAUGACCUCCUGCCAUUGGGCUAUCU